rnacentral:rRNA from 1 species
GACGAACGCUGGCGGCGUGCUUAACACAUGCAAGUCGAACGGAAAGGCCCUGCUUUUGUGGGGUGCUCGAGUGGCGAACGGGUGAGUAACACGUGAGUAACCUGCCCUUGACUUUGGGAUAACUUCAGGAAACUGGGGCUAAUACCGGAUAGGAGCUCCUGCUGCAUGGUGGGGGUUGGAAAGUUUCGGCGGUUGGGGAUGGACUCGCGGCUUAUCAGCUUGUUGGUGGGGUAGUGGCUUGCCAAGGCUUUGACGGGUAGCCGGCCUGAGAGGGUGACCGGCCACAUUGGGACUGAGAUACGGCACAGACUCCUACGGGAGGCAGCAGUGGGGAAUAUUGCACAAUGGGCGGAAGCCUGAUGCAGCAACGCCGCGUGCGGGAUGACGGCCUUCGGGUUGUAAACCGCUUUCGCCUGUGACGAAGCGUGAGUGACGGUAGUGGGUAAAGAAGCACCGGCUAACUACGUG